CCCGCUGAACUUAAGCAUAUCAAUAAGCGGAGGAAAAGAAACUAACAAGGAUUCCCCUAGUAACGGCGGGUGAAGCGGGAUGAGCUCAAAUUUAAAAUCUGGCGUGCCUCUGGUCGUCCGAGUUGUAGUCUGGAGAAGCGUUUUCCGUGUUGGACCGUGUAUAAGUCUCUUGGAACAGGGCGUCAUAGAGGGUGAGAAUCCCGUCUUUGACACGGACUACCAAUGCUUUGUGAUGCGCUCUCAAAGAGUCGAGUUGUUUGGGAAUGCAGCUCAAAAUGGGUGGUAAAUUCCAUCUAAAGCUAAAUAUUGGCGAGAGACCGAUAGCGAACAAGUACCGUGAGGGAAAGAUGAAAAGAACUUUGGAAAGAGAGUUAAACAGUACGUGAAAUUGCUGAAAGGGAAACGCUUGAAGUCAGUCGCGUCAUCCAGGGAUCAACCUUGCUUCUGCUCGGUGCACUUCUCGGUUGACGGGUCAGCAUCAAUUUUGACCGCCGGAUAAAGGUCGGGGGAAUGUGGCAUCCUUCGGGAUGUGUUAUAGACCUCGAUUCGGAUACGGCGAUUGGGAUUGAGGAACUCGGCGCUUUGCGUCCAGGAUGCUGGCAUAAUGGCUUUAAGCGACCCGUCUUGAAACACGG
rnacentral:rRNA from 1 species